rnacentral:rRNA from 1 species
AACGAACGCUGGCGGCAGGCCUAACACAUGCAAGUCGAGCGAAGCCUUCGGGCUUAGCGGCGGACGGGUGAGUAACGCGUGGGAACGUGCCCUUUGGUACGGAAUAGCCCCGGGAAACUGGGAGUAAUACCGUAUGUGCCCUUCGGGGGAAAGAUUUAUCGCCAAAGGAUCGGCCCGCGUUGGAUUAGGUAGUUGGUGGGGUAAUGGCCUACCAAGCCGACGAUCCAUAGCUGGUUUGAGAGGAUGAUCAGCAACACUGGGACUGAGACACGGCCCAGACUCCUACGGGAGGCAGCAGUGGGGAAUCUUGGACAAUGGGCGAAAGCCUGAUCCAGCAAUGCCGCGUGAGUGAUGAAGGCCUUAGGGUUGUAAAGCUCUUUUACCCGGGAUGAUAAUGACGGUACCGGGAGAAUAAGCCCCGGCUAACUCCGUGCCAGCCGCCGCAGUAAUAC